rnacentral:rRNA from 1 species
UACAGAGGUCUCAAGCGUUGUUCGGAAUCACUGGGCGUAAAGGGUGCGUAGGCGGCGGGGAAAGUCAGAUGUGAAAUCCGGAGGCUCAACCUCCGAAUGGCAUCCGAUACUACCUCGCUAGAGAUUUGUAGAGGAGCUUGGAAUUCUCGGUGUAGCAGUGAAAUGCGUAGAUAUCGAGAAGAACGCUCGCAGCGAAGGCGAAGCUCUGGGCAAAUUCUGACGCUGAUGCACGAAGGCUAGGGGAGCGAACGGG